CUUGACUCUGCGGGGUUAGAGUUGUAUGCUUGAGCAGUGUCCGCCACUGCGGAUGGCGAGGGAUCUGAUCGGGCCGGCGCUGCCGCCCGGCUUCAAGGCCCGCGGGACAGCCGAGGACGAGGAGCGAGACCCCAGCCCUGUUGCAGGACCAGCUCUGCCCCCUAAUUAUAAAAGCAGUAGCUCGGAGUCCUCAGACAGUGAUGAAGACAGUAGUUCGUUGUAUGAAGAAAAUCAAGAAUCUGAAGAUGAUGACAGUGGUCCAGUGGCAAGAAAACAGAGGAGAAAUCAAGAUGACGAUGACGAUGACGAUGAAGGGUUUUUUGGACCAGCUCUUCCUCCUGGAUUUAAAAAGCAGGAUGAUUCUCCUCCAAGGCCUAUAAUAGGUCCUGCACUACCACCUGGUUUUAUUAAAUCUACUCAGAAAAGUGACAAAGGCAGAGAUGAUCCAGGACAACAAGUAUCAUCAUAUUUCAACUCUGAGGAAACAGAUAGCAGUGAAGAUGAGGACAUUGUUGGACCAAUGCCUGCCAAAGGACCAGUUAACUAUAGCGUCACAACAGAGUUUGAAAAAAGGGCCCAGCGAAUGAAAGAGAAACUGACCAAAGGAGACAAUGAUUCAUUGAAACCAAUGACAAGAGAGUCAUGGAUGACUGAGCUUCCUCCAGAAAUGAAAGACUUUGGUCUUGGGCCCAGAACUUUUAAGAGAAGGGCUGAUGACAAAUCUGGAGAUCGAUCAGUCUGGACAGACACUCCAGCAGACAGGGAGAAGAAAGCCAAGGAAACACAAGAAGCAAGGAAAUCAUUUAAUAAGAAGGAUGAAGAACAUACAUUGUCAGGAAGGGAAAAGAGAUUGGCUGAGCAGGUAUCCUCAUACAAUGAAUCAAAAAGAUCAGAAUCUCUUAUGGACAUUCAUCAUAAAAAAUUGAAGAAUAAAGCUGCUGAAGAAAAAAAUAAGCCCCAAGAAAGAAUACCAUUUGACCGUGAUAAAGAUCUCAAGGCUAAUCGGUUUGAUGAAGCUCAGAAAAAAGCUCUGAUAAAGAAAUCUAGAGAACUAAACACCAGAUUUUCACAUGGCAAAGGCAGUAUGUUUUUAUAAGGGGAUUUCCCUGUGCAGUGAAGAAAAGUUGAAGAAUACGCUUUUGUCUGUCUGUCACCUUUAUCCCUUUGUUUUGAGUUUCUUGAGAUUAGAGAUGACUUCAGUCUUAAAAACCAUACAAAACUUACCUUGUGUGUAUAUCCUGUAACUUCUAUGGAAACCUAGUCAGUAUUUCUUAUGUGGAAUAGAAUUUUAUGUGUCUUUGGCUUCUGAGGAUGUCUGGGCUUUUCUUCAAAUAAUUAUUUUGAGGCUCUCCCAUCCAUUCCCUAAUUUUUGUGGUGUCUCACAAGUAUCCUGUAAGAUCUUAGUCAGGACUAUCCACCAAAUCCCCACCAAAGCUCAGACCUCCUCAUCAAAUGUUACUCGCCUGCCCUUGGAGUAAAUGUGCCGGGUCCUUGCAGUAAAUCCAUGAAUUUGAAAUUGUUUGGGUUUUCCCUGUAAACCAUGAAUACACAUUUACAAAUAGAGGGCUCAGAGGUUUCAUCUGUUUUGUUCACAUUUGCUUGUUUGGGCAAUCAGGGCUUUUAUUUGUUUGGGCUUUUUGUUUUUCUAUUUUGGUUGGCGCCCCGGUUGGUUGGUUUUUAAGUCAGGAAGAAGGGCCUCUGCAUUAUCUCAUGUGCUAAGGAAAAACUAUAUUGAUUUUUGCAAUAUUAAUAAGUAUUUCUGGGGGAGGCAAUCUGAGGGACAAAAUACGCCAUUAAGCAUUAGUGGUGUGAAGUCUAAGACUUGGUCUCCAUGGUCUCAGCCAAAGCUUUCUAAUUAAGUCUUUAAAUUUUACUUUGCGAUGAUCUUACUUUACCCUUUUAUAUUUAACAGAUUUAAACUAAUUUAUUGGAGACUGAUCUUUUUUAUCAGUCAUGAGUAGUCUCUUAAAAAAAUCAAGUUCCUAAUCCCUGAAUACAAAAAUAUAAAUGGACACGCUAAUCAUAACCACCCUAAUGAGAGUAUGUAAGUUUGUAAUGCUUGAGGUACUAUCUCUCGGGAUGUUAAAUAGAAUAUUCUAAAUGGUUAAAUCCUAAAUUCAAAUUCUCUAAGUUAUGUUUUCUUACAGAGCCAUUCUAAUUGUUCACUAGUUCUGUGGUCUAGUCUUGAUAAAGCAUGAGGGGUUUUAUUUUUUGUUUUCUAUGGGGAAAAAAACACAAAAUGAGAGACGAGGUGGGAAGUGUGAGGUUUCAGUGGAAAAACAUUCUGAUCCCUUGUUCAUGUAGGCUUCAUGACAAUUGAGUGACCUCUUCAGAUUAUGGCACAAAUUAUUCUUUGCUUUUAUGAUAUCAGCCUAAACAGUAGCCUACUCAAGGAGUGUAGCUACUAAAACGAUGAAUUAUUCUCCCAAGCAAACCGAGAAAGCCUCUUGUCUCAGAACUUGAACAGAACUUGAACAGAACUACCAUUUGCCUAAGAUGUCAUUUUUAGUAAGUAAUAUUUUCUGAACCCAAAACUUUGUGUAAAAGCAUCCAUUGCUCUUCUUUAAUUUCAUUACAAUUUUUCGCCAAUGAAAGGAAGAAAUGUUUUCUAGUUUCUCAUCCUUGUAUGAAUUCCUAACAUAUAUUUUUGGGAAACUUGGUAUUUUUUAAAGUAAAAAUGUCACCUUUGGUUGCUUAUUUUUCUUUGUUUUCUUCAUUUUAAGGAGAUAGGAUAUUUCUGUAUCACCUAUUUACUGUUUUUUCCCCUCACCUUGAAGCAUCUUUGUCCUCAGCAAAAGGGAGAAAACCUCUUCUUUCAGCCUAAGGCUUUCCACGAGUUACCACCUUAUUGCUUCUUGCCCCCAGGGCAGUUUUAAUCAAAUGUCAGGCCAGAGGCCCCUCCCCCACAGGGACUACGCCCAAUCUAACAGCAUUGAUAACAGAACAGAGUUGCUGUUUACACAGAAUGGAAGGGUGCUCAUGUCAGCCCCUCCCCUCUUCCAAAGUGGUGAAAAGCCUACUUAAAUCAAGUCUCCAUCCUUCUGACAGAAAAUUGGCAUUGCUGACAUCUUCUAAUAAGAACUUUUUAAUUUCCUAUACUUCUUGACUAAGUUUUCUAGAACUGCGACCUCCUUUGAAACUUCAAAAUGAAGAAUAAAAAAGAGCAACACUCAGUUCAAAGGGUGAAGCAGAUACUUUAACUUUCUUUUCCGUUGAAGGUGACAUCUAAGUUCAUUGUAACUGAAAUUACAUUUUUGUCCACCUCUGUAAAUCGUCAUCUCAGAUUGAGUUACUUCCACAAGUAACCACAUUACUGAUAAAUAAGUGGUGACUUUAGCAAGUGAGAGAAUUGGGAAUGGGGACAGAAGGUAAGACAUGAUGGCUUCACCCAUUCAUUAUCAGAUAAAUUAAAGCCUUUUUAUAUUGGGCAAAAUAUUGUAAAUUAAGCCCUGCUCUUAAAAAAAAAAAAGCCAUGGUCUUACUAAAAGUUUUUAAUCGUCUUCGGAUAUAACAACCAUUUGACAUUUAAUUUAUCUCUUAAACUUUUAGUAGUUCUCUGACUUAAUGACUUAUUUAAAAGUGAGGUUGAGAGGGACGCCUGGGUGUGGCUCAGCCGGUUGAGGGUCUCCCUUCGGCUUGGGUCAUGGUCCCAGGGUCCUGGGAUCAAGCCCCGAAUCAGGCUCCCUGCUCAGUGGGAGGCCUGCUUCUCCCUCUCCUACUCCCCCUGCUUGUGUUCCCUCUCUCACUCUCUCUCUGUCAAGUAAAUAAAUAAAAUCUUUUUUUAAAAAAGUGAGUUUGAGAUUGACAUGGUACUGAAACUUAUAUGCUCCAGAAUAGAUUAGUAAUUAUUCUAUAAAUGAUUUGGUCCCCAAACAUGAUGGCACUUUUUAUUCUUAUAUAGGGUGGAUAAUGUUAAUAUUAUUACUCAAACGUAUGAUCAUGGGAGAUGAAUUGUUAAACUGUCUACAAGAGUUCUGUCAUGUCUCUUUUGUACUUCUUCCAUGCUAAUGAUAAGCAUUGUCAGAAAAAGCAAUUCUCUGUUGAGUUACGUAGCUCAAAGGAAGAAUUAACGUGGGGGGAAAGUGGUUAGAAAUAGUGCCUGUGUAACAUCAGUGCCAGCUCUUCUCUUUCAUGAUACUAAUUUAUUUUACUUUGGCUUUUGAUGCCAUCAUGAGAUUUAAGUCUGCAGUUACAGAAGUCAUGCAUUUCCUAUUAUAGGAGAGGGUUGGUUUUUUUUUUUUUUUUUUGCAGCUUAAAAAAUUGUUCAACUGUGACUCUAGUUUGUAAAAUACUAUAAAGAGCUAUACACUGCCCCUUUGAAUCUUUUCAUUUUGAACUCUACAGGAAAAGACUUUUUAGAAGAGAAUUCCUGGUGUAUAAUUUUUUACAUAUAAAUAAAGUUUCAUCUCU